rnacentral:rRNA from 1 species
GACGAACGCUGGCGGCGUGCUUAACACAUGCAAGUCGAACGGAAAGGCCCUGCUUUUGUGGGGUGCUCGAGUGGCGAACGGGUGAGUAACACGUGAGUAACCUGCCCUUGACUUUGGGAUAACUUCAGGAAACUGGGGCUAAUACCGGAUAGGAGCUCCUGCUGCAUGGUGGGGGUUGGAAAGUUUCGGCGGUUGGGGAUGGACUCGCGGCUUAUCAGCUUGUUGGUGGGGUAGUGGCUUACCAAGGCUUUGACGGGUAGCCGGCCUGAGAGGGUGACCGGCCACAUUGGGACUGAGAUACGGCCCAGACUCCUACGGGAGGCAGCAGUGGGGAAUAUUGCACAAUGGGCGGAAGCCUGAUGCAGCAACGCCGCGUGCGGGAUGACGGCCUUCGGGUUGUAAACCGCUUUCGCCUGUGACGAAGCGUGAGUGACGGUAAUGGGUAAAGAAGCACCGGCUAACUACGUGCCAGCAGCCGCGGUGAUACGUAGGGUGCGAGCGUUGUCCGGAUUUAUUGGGCGUAAAGGGCUCGUAGGUGGUUGAUCGCGUCGGAAGUGUAAUCUUGGGGCUUAACCCUGAGCGUGCUUUCGAUACGGGUUGACUUGAGGAAGGUAGGGGAGAAUGGAAUUCCUGGUGGAGCGGUGGAAUGCGCAGAUAUCAGGAGGAACACCAGUGGCGAAGGCGGUUCUCUGGGCCUUUCCUGACGCUGAGGAGCGAAAGCGUGGGGAGCGAACAGGCUUAGAUACCCUGGUAGUCCACGCUGUAAACGGUGGGUACUAGGUGUGGGGUCCAUUCCACGGGUUCCGUGCCGUAGCUAACGCUUUAAGUACCCCGCCUGGGGAGUACGGCCGCAAGGCUAAAACUCAAAGGAAUUGACGGGGCCCCGCACAAGCGGCGGAGCAUGCGGAUUAAUUCGAUGCAACGCGUAGAACCUUACCUGGGUUUGACAUGGAUCGGGAGCGCUCAGAGAUGGGUGUGCCUCUUUUGGGGUCGGUUCACAGGUGGUGCAUGGCUAUCGUCAGCUCGUGUCGUGAGAUGUUGGGUUAAGUCCCGCAACGAGCGCAACCCUUGUUCACUGUUGCCAGCACGUUAUGGUGGGGACUCAGUGGAGACCGCCGGGGUCAACUCGGAGGAAGGUGGGGAUGACGUCAAGUCAUCAUGCCCCUUAUGUCCAGGGCUUCACGCAUGCUACAAUGGCUGGUACAGAGAGUGGCGAGCCUGUGAGGGUGAGCGAAUCUCGGAAAGCCGGUCUCAGUUCGGAUUGGGGUCUGCAACUCGACCUCAUGAAGUCGGAGUCGCUAGUAAUCGCAGAUCAGCAACGCUGCGGUGAAUACGUUCCCGGGGCU